rnacentral:rRNA from 1 species
CUGGCUCAGAAUCAACGCUGGCGGCAUGCCUAACACAUGCAAGUCGAACGAGAAAGUCCUUCGGGAUGAGUACAGUGGCGCACGGGUGAGUAACGCGUGGGUUAUCUACCUCUGGGUGGGGAAUAACUCGGGGAAACUCGGGCUAAUACCGCAUAAUACGUUUACGUUAAAGCAGCAAUGCGCCUGGAGAUGAGCCUGCGUCCGAUUAGCUAGUUGGCGGGGUAAUGGCCCACCAAGGCGACGAUCGGUAGCCGGCCUGAGAGGGCGGUCGGCCACACUGGCACUGAAACACGGGCCAGACUCCUACGGGAGGCAGCAGUGAGGAAUUUUGGGCAAUGGGCGCAAGCCUGACCCAGCAAUGCCGCGUGAACGAUGAAGUCCUUCGGGAUGUAAAGUUCGUAAGCAGGAGAAGAAUACUGACGGUAUCCUGUGUAAGCCCCGGCUAACUACGUGCCAGCAGCCGCGGUAAUACGUAGGGGGCAAGCGUUGUUCGGAUUUACUGGGCGUAAAGGGCGCGUAGGCGGCGCGUAAAGUCGGACAUGAAAUCAUUGGGCUUAACCUGAUGGCUGUGCCCGAUACUUACGUGCUUGGAGUGCGGGAGAGGCAAUCGGAAUUCUCGGUGUAGCGGUGAAAUGCGUAGAUAUCGAGAGGAACUCCGGUGACGAAGGUGGGUUGCUGGACCGACACUGACGCUGAGGCGCGAAAGCUAGGGGAGCAAACGGGAUUAGAUACCCCGGUAGUCCUAGCCCUAAACGAUGAAUACUUGGUGUGCGAGUUGUUUAGUACUCGCGUGCCGUAGCUAACGCGAUAAGUAUUCCGCCUGGGGAGUAUGAUCGCAAGAUUGAAACUCAAAGGAAUUGACGGGGA